UACGUAGGGGGCUAGCGUUGUCCGGAAUCAUUGGGCGUAAAGCGCGUGUAGGCGGCCCGGUAAGUCCGCUGUGAAAGUCGGGGGCUCAACCCUCGGAAGCCGGUGGAUACUGUCGGGCUCGAGUACGGAAGAGGCGAGUGGAAUUCCUGGUGUAGCGGUGAAAUGGCGCAGAUAUCAGGAGGAACACCGGUGGCGAAGGCGGGUCUCUGGGCCGAUACUGACGCUGAGGAGCGAAAGCGUGGGGAGCGAACAGG
rnacentral:rRNA from 1 species